UUCUGUAAAUGUUGUUGUGUAAAUGUUGUGCAUACUAUAGAAGUUCCAUCUGUGGAACAUAGUUUGUCAUGUCUAGGUUCAGUAUACAUGCAUGCAUAUAGCGUGUAGGUGCCAUAUCUGAUGUGUACAUUUUGUCUGUAUUGUAGAAGUUCAGUCGGUGGUAUUAUGAUUCUGUUUGUGGUUUCUAUGUUCAGUCCUUUAUGUCGUUCUGUCUGUUGUGUCUAGAUUAUUUUUAUGGUGACAAGCUUUUGUCUACAGCAUACAUGUUGUGUUGGUUGAAUAGAAGACUGAUUUCCAGGUUCUGUCUGUAGUGUUCAGGUUCAGUCUGUAGUAUUCAGGUUCAGUCUGUAAUACACAGGUUCAGUCUGUAGUAUUCAGGUUCAGUCUGUAAUACACAGGUUCUGUCUGUAGUGUUCAGGUUCUGCCUGUAAUACACAGGUUCUGUGUCUGAAUAUUUG